GGGUUGUGAGGUUAAGCGACUAAGCGUACACGGUGGAUGCCCUGGCAGUCAGAGGCGAUGAAGGACGUGCUAAUCUGCGAAAAGCGUCGGUAAGGUGAUAUGAACCGUUACAGCCGGCGAUGUCCGAAUGGGGAAACCCAGUGUGAUUCGUCACACUAUCGUUAACUGAAUACAUAGGUUAACGAGGCGAACCGGGGGAACUGAAACAUCUAAGUACCCCGAGGAAAAGAAAUCAACCGAGAUUCCCCCAGUAGCGGCGAGCGAACGGGGAGCAGCCCAGAGUCUGAAUCAGCUUGUGUGUUAGUGGAACGGUCUGGAAAGUCCGACGGUACAGGGUGAUAGUCCCGUACACCAAAAUGCACAGGCUGUGAACUCGAAGAGUAGGGCGGGACACGUGGUAUCCUGUCUGAAUAUGGGGGGACCAUCCUCCAAGGCUAAAUACUCCUGACUGACCGAUAGUGAACCAGUACCGUGAGGGAAAGGCGAAAAGAACCCCGGCGAGGGGAGUGAAAAAGAACCUGAAACCGUGUACGUACAAGCAGUGGGAGC
rnacentral:rRNA from 1 species